CGGUCCCCUCGCAAUGAUUACCCGUCAACCUGGUCAGAUCCGGAAGGAAGCAGCCAUAGCGGGAACAUCGUGUGCCGGGGUGUGGCUGG
rnacentral:SRP_RNA from 1 species